rnacentral:rRNA from 1 species
UAGCUUGCUACUUUGCUGACGAGCGGCGGACGGGUGAGUAAUGCUUGGGAACAUGCCUUGAGGUGGGGGACAACAGUUGGAAACGACUGCUAAUACCGCAUAAUGUCUACGGACCAAAGGGGGCUUCGGCUCUCGCCUUUAGAUUGGCCCAAGUGGGAUUAGCUAGUUGGUGAGGUAAUGGCUCACCAAGGCGACGAUCCCUAGCUGGUUUGAGAGGAUGAUCAGCCACACUGGGACUGAGACACGGCCCAGACUCCUACGGGAGGCAGCAGUGGGGAAUAUUGCACAAUGGGCGCAAGCCUGAUGCAGCCAUGCCGCGUGUGUGAAGAAGGCCUUCGGGUUGUAAAGCACUUUCAGUCAGGAGGAAAGGUUAGUAGUUAAUACCUGCUAGCUGUGACGUUACUGACAGAAGAAGCACCGGCUAACUCCGUGCCAGCAGCCGCGGUAAUACGGAGGGUGCGAGCGUUAAUCGGAAUUACUGGGCGUAAAGCGUACGCAGGCGGUUUGUUAAGCGAGAUGUGAAAGCCCCGGGCUCAACCUGGGAACUGCAUUUCGAACUGGCAAACUAGAGUGUGAUAGAGGGUGGUAGAAUUUCA